UGAGUUUGAUCCUGGCUCAGAACGAACGCUGGCGGCAGGCCUAACACAUGCAAGUCGAACGCCGUAGCAAUACGGAGUGGCAGACGGGUGAGUAACGCGUGGGAACAUACCCUUCGGUUCGGAAUAACUCAGGGAAACUUGAGCUAAUACCGGAUACGUCCGCAAGGAGAAAGAUUUAUCGCCGAGGGAUUGGCCCGCGUCUGAUUAGCUUGUUGGUGAGGUAAUGGCUCACCAAGGCGACGAUCAGUAGCUGGUCUGAGAGGAUGACCAGCCACAUUGGGACUGAGACACGGCCCAAACUCCUACGGGAGGCAGCAGUGGGGAAUAUUGGACAAUGGGCGAAAGCCUGAUCCAGCCAUGCCGCGUGAGUGAUGAAGGCCUUAGGGUUGUAAAGCUCUUUUACCUGGGAAGAUAAUGACGGUACCAGGAGAAUAAGCCCCGGCUAACUUCGUGCCAGCAGCCGCGGUAAUACGAAGGGGGCUAGCGUUGUUCGGAAUUACUGGGCGUAAAGCGCACGUAGGCGGAUUUUUAAGUCAGGGGUGAAAUCCCGAGGCUCAACCGCGGAACUGCCUUUGAUACUGGGAAUCUUGAGUCCGGGAGAGGUGAGUGGAACUGCGAGUGUAGAGGUGAAAUUCGUAGAUAUUCGCAAGAACACCAGUGGCGAAGGCGGCUCACUGGCCCGGUACUGACGCUGAGGUGCGAAAGCGUGGGGAGCAAACAGGAUUAGAUACCCUGGUAGUCCACGCCGUAAACGAUGGAUGCUAGCCGUUAGGCAGCUUGCUGCUUAGUGGCGCAGUUAACGCUUUAAGCAUCCCGCCUGGGGAGUACGGUCGCAAGAUUAAAACUCAAAGGAAUUGACGGA
rnacentral:rRNA from 1 species